rnacentral:rRNA from 1 species
UUAAUUGCAGAGGGUAAUAGCAGGUUGUGCGUCUCCGUCAGAGACUACUACUGUUAUAUGCUGCAAACACGACCUGCGAUCUUCAACCCUAUACUCUAUGGAGCUAGACUGCUGCAGCAAUGGGCUGUCGACAUGUAUGUUAAGAUUGAGAGUUGUCGGUUGCGGUGGUACAGGAAAAACCAGACGCAGAUUCGUGCCGACUUGUAUAAAGGAGUGGUUGAUGCCAUCACUUCGGGGGAGACGCGAGCAAGCGCGGUUGGGGUUAGAAUAGUGCUCCCUGGAACAUACCCUGGUGGCGAUCGCGACAUGAAGAGGAGGCAUAUGGAUGCCAUGGCAAUUGUCCAGAAAUACGGGAAGCCAGACAUCUUCCUCACCAUGACUUGCAAUCCUUAA